AACGAACGCUGGCGGCAUGCCUAACACAUGCAAGUCGAACGAGACCUUCGGGUCUAGUGGCGCACGGGUGCGUAACGCGGGGGAACCUGCCCUUAGGUUCGGAAUAACUCCCCGAAAGGGGUGCUAAUACCGGAUAAUGUCUUCGGACCAAAGAUUUAUCGCCUUUGGAUGGGCCCGCGUUGGAUUAGCUAGUUGGUAGGGUAAAAGCCUACCAAGGCGACGAUCCAUAGCUGGUCUGAGAGGAUGAUCAGCCACACUGGGACUGAGACACGGCCCAGACUCCUACGGGAGGCAGCAGUGGGGAAUAUUGGACAAGGGGCGAAAGCCUGAUCCAGCAAUGCCGCGUGAGUGAUGAAGGCCUUAGGGUUGUAAAGCUCUUUUACCCGGGAUGAUAAUGACAGUACCGGGAGAAUAAGCUCCGGCUAACUCCGUG
rnacentral:rRNA from 1 species